UUGUUUUCUGGAAGACAGCGAUGCAGCCACAAGUAAACGUGAGAAUGAUACUGUGAUAGACGAAUCGUACGAGUCAAGUCAACAAGAUUCGAAUUCAUCAUCCAACGAACUCGAGAAAACUGAAGACAAUUUUAGGUUCGGAAAAAGGAAUGUUAAAAAGGUUCCCAUUAU
rnacentral:lncRNA from 1 species